ACGGGUGCGUAACGCGUAGGAAUCUGCCUUGAAGCGGGGGACAACCCGAGGAAACUCGGGCUAAUACCGCAUAAUCUCGAGAGAGUAAAGCUGGGGCAACCUGGCACUUCAAGAGGAGCCUGCGUCCGAUUAGCUAGUUGGUGGGGUAAAAGCCUACCAAGGCGAUGAUCGGUAGCUGGUCUGAGAGGAUGAUCAGCCACACUGGGACUGAGACACGGCCCAGACUCCUACGGGAGGCAGCAGUGGGGAAUAUUGGACAAUGGGGGUAACCCUGAUCCAGCAAUGCCGCGUGUGUGAAGAAGGCCUUAGGGUUGUAAAGCACUUUAGUUUGGGAGGAAGGUAUCAAGUUUAAGAGAUAUGAUAUUUGACUGUACCGAAAGAAUAAGCACCGGCUAACUCUGUGCCAGCAGCCGCGGUAAUACAGAGGGUGCGAGCGUUAAUCGGAGUUACUGGGCGUAAAGGGCGCGUAGGCGGUUGAUUAAGUGAGAUGUGAAAUCCCUGGGCUUAACCUAGGAACUGCAUCUCAUACUGGUCAGCUAGAGUAUUGUAGAGGGUAGUGGAAUUUCCGGUGUAGC
rnacentral:rRNA from 1 species